ACUCCUCAAGACCGAUAGCGAACAAGUAGUGUGAACGAACGCUGAAAAGCACCCCACGAAGGGAGGUGCAAUAGGGCGUGAAAUCAGUUGGCGAUGGAGCGACUGGGCACAAAAGGUCUGCUGUGAAAUGACCCAGGUGCGAACCUGCAGUAAGAAACAGCAGAAGCCGGUGUCCAGUCGUACGUUUUGAAAAACGAACCAGGGAGUGUGCCUGUUUGACGAGUCUAACCUGAUCAUCAGGGAAGGCGUAGGGAAACCGACAUGGCCNUGUGAACGAACGCUGAAAAGCACCCCACGAAGGGAGGUGCAAUAGGGCGUGAAAUCAGUUGGCGAUGGAGCGACUGGGCACAAAAGGUCCUGUGCGAAAUGACCGAGGUGCGAACCUCUAGUAAGAAGCACAGGAAGCCGGUGUCCAGUCGUACGUUUUGAAAAACGAACCAGGGAGUGUGCCUGUUUGACGAGUCUAACCUGAUCAUCAGGGAAGGCGUAGNGAGGGCCGCCGUGUUCAAGCGCGGGGAGUCAAACGGGCACGACCCGAAACCGGAUGAUCUAGGCGUGGGCAGGGUGAAGCGUGCCGAAAGGCACGUGGAGGCCCGAUAGCGUUGGUGUCCUACAAUACCCUCGCGUGACCUAUGUCUAGGGGGGAAAGGCCCAUCGAAUCCGGAAACAGCUGGUUCCAACCGAAACAUGUCGAAGCAUGACCUCUGCCGAGAUAGUUCAUGGGGUAGAGCGACGGAUUGGGGGACCGCACUCCGAGAGGAGUGCGCCCCCCUGUCCAACUCCGAACCUAUGAACGUCGUUUGACGCAGGGAGUCCGGUGCGCGGGGUAAGCCUGUGUACCGUGAGGGAGACAACCCAGAGCUGGGUUAAGGUCCCCAAGUGUGGACUAAGUGCGAUCGAAAGUGGUCCCGAGCCCUAGACAGCCGGGAGGUGAGCUUAGAAGCAGCUACCCUCUAAGAAAAGCGUAACAGCUUACCGGCCGAGGUUCGGGGCGCUGAAAAUGAUCGGGGCUCAAGUCCACCACCGAGACCUAGCGGCANUGAUCCCGUAGGUUGGCGUUCUGUUCGGAUGGAAGCACGGCCGAGAGGUCGUGUGGACCGUUCAGUAACGAAAAUCCUGGUCAUAGUAGCAGCGUUAGUCGGGUGAGAACCCCGACGGCCGAACGAGUAAGGGUUCCUCAGCAAUGCUGAUCAGCUGAGGGUUAGCCGGUCCUAAGUCAGCCCGUAAGUCGAAGCUGACAACAGGGAAAUAGGUUAAUAUUCCUAUGCCAGUGUGCACUCAAAGCCGACGCUUUGGGGCCGCCUCUGCCGGGCUUUCGCCCGGCCGAACAGUCGAACUUCGUGGAAGCCGUAAUGGCACGAAGCGAACGAAUGACUGGAUAGCGCAAGAGAGGUCAACCUAGAGCCCGUGAAAAGGCAAGCACACUGUCCGUACCGAGAUCCGACACAGGUACUCGUGGCGGCGAAAGCCAAGGUCUGUCGGGAGUAACCGACGUUAGGGAAUUCGGCAAGUUAGUCCCGUACGUUCGCAAUAAGGGAUNACACAUGGGUCCACGUUCGGUAAACGCGAUCGGAUGACCGAUCAGGCGUCACCGAACUACCAAGGCUCACAUCAGACCCCUUCUGUACGGAAGACCGCAGGGGAAGGGUCCUCAUCUCCUUCGUAUUAAUCGAUAAC
rfam:Natronolimnobius innermongolicus JCM 12255 contig_96, whole genome shotgun sequence.